rnacentral:rRNA from 1 species
CCUGGUGGCAAUAGCGUGUAGGUACCACCUGAUCCCAUCCCGAACUCAGAAGUGAAACUGCUCAGCGCCGAUGAUAGUGUGGUGUUUCGCCAUGUGAAAGUAGGACACUACCAGGA